rnacentral:rRNA from 1 species
AGAGUUUGAUCCUGGCUCAGAGCGAACGUUAGCGGGAGGCUUAACACAUGCAAGUCGAGCGAGAACAGGGACUUCGGUCCCUUAGUAAAGCGGCGGACGGGUGAGUAACACGUGGAUAAUCUGCCCUUUGGCGGGGGACAACAAUUCGAAAGGAUUGCUAAUACCGCAUAAGUCUCUACGGUCUCCGGACUGUAGAGGGAAAGAUGGCCUCUUCUUGAAAGCUAUCACCGAAGGAUGAGUCCGCGUAGCAUCAGCUUGUUGGUGGGGUAAUGGCCUACCAAGGCGAAGACGCUUAGCUGGUCUGAGAGGAUGAUCAGCCACACUGGGACUGAGAUACGGCCCAGACUCCUACGGGAGGCAGCAGUGGGGAAUAUUGGACAAUGGGCGCAAGCCUGAUCCAGCCAUCCCGCGUGAGUGAUGAAGGCUCUCGGGUCGUAAAGCUCUGUGGGGAGAGACGAAACCUGAACGGUUAAUACCCGUUCAACUGACGGUAUCUCUUUAGCAAGCACCGGCUAACUCCGUGCCAGCAGCCGCGGUAAUACGGAGGGUGCAAACGUUGCUCGG